UNCCCAGGCCUGCCUUGCUCUCUGAGGU
rnacentral:piRNA from 1 species